GAGGCUGCAGUGAGCUAGGAUAGCGCCACUGCACUCCAGCUGGGGUGACAGAGCAAGGCCCUGUCUCUAAAAUAAUUUCCUGUUUAGGUAGGAAAUUACAUUUAAAAAUGAAUUACCUGAUCACUUUUUUGAGAGAAGUUUGGCAACAGUAUAUCCAAAAUUUAAAGGUUCAUCUCUUUAACCUAACUGUUCUGCUUCUAGGAAUAGAUCUAAAAGUUAGAAAUGAUUAAAUAUAUGUCCAAAGGUAAUGGAAAAUGAUGUUCAUUGAAGCAUUGUUUAUAUCAGGGGAAACUUGGAAAAAAUUCUGAAUGUAUUCCAAAAGGGAAGUAGUUUAAUAAAUUAUGGUAUAUUCCUGCCAUAGAACGUUGGUGGCAUUAACAUGGUGGCAUGUAUCUAUCCUUAAUGACAUAAGCAUGUAACUGUAAUGUUUUAUUUGAAAAAGUGAGCCUACAAAACAGCAUGAAUGAUAUAAUUCAAGUUUUGUUUAAAAAUAGAUGGUGUUUCAACCUUAGACUUCUCAGGAAGAAAAAAAAAGAUGGUGUGCAUUUCUGCAGUGUAUGUGUGCCCAAGAUUGGAAGCAUGUAGUCUAAAUGUUAGCAAAGAUUAUUUCCGGGUGGUGCUGCUAGGUGAAGUGCGUUUUCUUUUAUACUUUUUAUUUAUUUAUUUAUUUAAGACGGGGUUUCACCAUAUUGGUCAGGCUGGUUUCGAACUCCGAACCUCAGGUGAUCUGCCUGCCUUGGCCUCCCACAGUGCUGGGAUUACAGGCGUGAGCCACCGCACUUGGCUUCUUUUAUACUUUUAUGUAGUCUUUCACAAAAGGUAUGUAUUACUUUCAUAAUUUGUAAAAGCCAUAAGGCUAUUUUUAUUUUGAAACUUAAGUAACAAUCCUAGCUACCACUUACGGUGUACUUACCAAGUACCAGGUACUGUCCUAGAUACGCGCAUUGACUCUGUGCAUUCUCGCAUUGAUCCUGUGUGGUAGAUAUUAUUUUCGCAGAUGAGGAGCCUGAGGCACAGAGGGGUUAGGUGACUUGCUUAAUAUCACAGAGCUAGUAGAGCCAAGAUUUGAACCUGGGUAACCUGACUCUAGCUUGUGUGCUGUAUACCACUUGUCAGGGUGGUGGUCAUCAAAAAAUUAGUUCUGCGUGCCUUUCCUGAUCUGGAGAGAGACAUCUAUAGAACGCUGUGGAGUCCAGCCACUGUGCGUGAUUGCUGCCUGGAUUGUGUGCUUAGUUGUCCUUUCAUACUCCGUCCUUUGGUUUGGAGCUGGCAUAGUAAUUUGUAAAUCUUGGUACUGUUUGUUACAACAGAUGGUUUUGUCAGAAAACGGCCCUCUUCAGAUUGCUAUUCAUUGUUUCCUAGCAACCUAUGGCUAAACUACA